GACGAACGCUGGCGGCGUGCUUAACACAUGCAAGUCGAACGGAAAGGCCCUGCUUUUGUGGGGUGCUCGAGUGGCGAACGGGUGAGUAACACGUGAGUAACCUGCCCUUGACUUUGGGAUAACUUCAGGAAACUGGGGCUAAUACCGGAUAGGAGCUCUUGCUGCAUGGUGGGGGUUGGAAAGUUUCGGCGGUUGGGGAUGGACUCGCGGCUUAUCAGCUUGUUGGUGGGGUAGUGGCUUACCAAGGCUUUGACGGGUAGCCGGCCUGAGAGGGUGACCGGCCACAUUGGGACUGAGAUACGGCCCAGACUCCCACGGGAGGCAGCAGUGGGGAAUAUUGCACAAUGGGCGGAAGCCUGAUGCAGCAACGCCGCGUGCGGGAUGACGGCCUUCGGGUUGUAAACCGCUUUCGCCUGUGACGAAGCGUGAGUGACGGUAAUGGGUAAAGAAGCACCGGCUAACUACGUG
rnacentral:rRNA from 1 species